rnacentral:rRNA from 1 species
AUUGAACGCUGGCGGCAUGCCUUACACAUGCAAGUCGAACGGUAACGGGCCUUCGGGUGCCGACGAGUGGCGAACGGGUGAGUAAUACAUCGGAACGUGCCCGAUCGUGGGGGAUAACGAGGCGAAAGCUUUGCUAAUACCGCAUACGAUCUACGGAUGAAAGCAGGGGACCGCAAGGCCUUGCGCGGACGGAGCGGCCGAUGGCAGAUUAGGUAGUUGGUGGGAUAAAAGCUUACCAAGCCGACGAUCUGUAGCUGGUCUGAGAGGAUGAUCAGCCACACUGGGACUGAGACACGGCCCAGACUCCUACGGGAGGCAGCCGUGGGGAAUUUUGGACAAUGGGCGCAAGCCUGAUCCAGCCAUGCCGCGUGCAGGAUGAAGGCCUUCGGGUUGUAAACUGCUUUUGUACGGAACGAAAAGCCUUCUUUUAAUACAGGAGGGUCAUGACGGUACCGUAAGAAUAAGCACCGGCUAACUACGUG